GACGAACGCUGGCGGCGUGCCUAAUACAUGCAAGUAGAACGCUGAAGGAGGAGCUUGCUUCUCUGGAUGAGUUGCGAACGGGUGAGUAACGCGUAGGUAACCUGCCUGGUAGCGGGGGAUAACUAUUGGAAACGAUAACUAAUACCGCAUAAGAGUAGAUGUUGCAUGACAUUUGCUUAAAAGGUGCAAUUGCAUCACUACCAGAUGGACCUGCGUUGUAUUAGCUAGUUGGUGAGGUAACGGCUCACCAAGGCAACGAUACAUAGCCGACCUGAGAGGGUGAUCGGCCACACUGGGACUGAGACACGGCCCAGACUCCUACGGGAGGCAGCAGUAGGGAAUCUUCGGCAAUGGACGGAAGUCUGACCGAGCAACGCCGCGUGAGUGAAGAAGGUUUUCGGAUCGUAAAGCUCUGUUGUAAGAGAAGAACGAGUGUGAGAGUGGAAAGUUCACACUGUGACGGUAUCUUACCAGAAAGGGACGGCUAACUACGUG
rnacentral:rRNA from 1 species